rnacentral:rRNA from 1 species
UGCAGAAUCCCGUGAACCAUCGAGUCUUUGAACGCAAGUUGCGCCCGAUGCCAUUAGGUUGAGGGCACGUCUGCCUGGGUGUCACAUAUCGAAGCCUCCUGCCAAUUUCCCUUUGAUUAUUGUGCAUGGUGGAAGUUGGCCUCCCGUGAGCUCUUUCGUCUCAUGGUUGGUUGAAAAUUGAGACCUUGGUAGGGUGUGCCAUGAUAGAUGGUGGUUGUGUGACCCACGAGACCAAUCAUGCGCUGCUCUAUUGAAUUUGGCCUCUUUUACCCAUAUGCGUUUCUAAACGCUCGUGAUGAGACCUCAGGUCAGGCGGGGCUACCCGCUGAAUUUAAGCAUAUCAAUAAGCGGAGGAAAAGAAACUAACAAGGAUUCCCUUAGUAACGGCGAGCGAACCGGGAUAAGCCCACCAUGAGAAUCGGUCGCCCUCGGCGUUCGA